rnacentral:misc_RNA from 1 species
GAUGAAGAACGUAGCGAAAUGCGAUAAGUAAUGUGAAUUGCAGAGUUCAGUGAAUCAUCGAAUCUUUGAACGCACAUUGCGCCCUCUGGUAUUCCGGGGGGCAUGCCUGUUCGAGCGUCAUUAUAACCACUCAAGCUCUCGCUUGGUAUUGGGGUUCGCGGUUUCGCGGCCCCUAAAAUCAGUGGCGGUGCCUGUCGGCUCUACGCGUAGUAAUACUUCUCGCGAUUGAGUUCGAUAGGUCUACUUGCCAGUAACCCCCAAUUUUUACAGGUUGACCUCGGAUCAGGUAGGGAUACCCGCUGAACUUAAGCAUAUCAAUAAGCGGAGGA